GUGGGGAAUAUUGGGCAAUGGGCGAAAGCCUGACCCAGCAACGCCGCGUGAGGGAAGAAGGUUUUCGGAUUGUAAACCUCUGUCCUUGGUGACGAACACAAUGACGGUAGCCAAGGAGGAAGCCCCGGCUAACUACGUGCCAGCAGCCGCGGUAAUACGUAGGGGGCAAGCGUUGUCCGGAAUGACUGGGCGUAAAGGGCGUGUAGGCGGCCGAUUAAGUCUGGAGUGAAAGUCCUGCUUUCAAGGUGGGAAUUGCUUUGGAGACUGGUUGGCUUGAGUGCGGAAGAGGCAAGUGGAAUUCCCAGUGUAGCGGUGAAAUGCGUAGAGAUUGGGAGGAACACCAGUGGCGAAGGCGACUUGCUGGGCCGUAACUGACGCUGAGGCGCGAAAGCGUGGGGAGCGAACAGGAUUAGAUACCCCAGUAGUCC
rnacentral:rRNA from 1 species